rnacentral:tRNA from 1 species
GGUUCCGUAGCUCAGUCGGUUAGAGCGCCGUGCUAAUAACGCGGAUGUCGCGAGUUCGACCCUCGUCGGAACCA